GCAGUUUCAUAGAAACUGCUAUAAUUAUGAAUGGGUUAAGCCUUCCCCCUAAUCCUCUAGUGGCUGUCUCAUUGACAGCCACUGGAGGCGCUUGCGUGCUUCUCACUGUGAUUUUCACAGUGAGAGCACGCAAGCGUCCAUAGGAAAGCAUUGUAAAUGCUUUCCUAUGCGACGGGCUGAAUGCGCGCGCAGCUCUUGCCGCGCGUGCGCAUUCAGCCGGCGGGGCGGAACGGAGGCGGAGAGGAGGAGGAGAGCUCUCCGCCCAGCGCUGGAAAAAGGUAAGUUUUACCCCUUUUCCCCUUCCAGAGCCGGGCGGGAGGGGGUCCCUGAGGGUGGGGGCACCCUCAGGGCACUAUAGUGCCAGGAAAACGAGUAUGUUUUCCUGGCACUAUAGUGG
rnacentral:lncRNA from 1 species